AUGGAGCCACGUAUCUUUCGGGCUUUGGCAUCUUACCUUAGAAGAGAAAAUCUGAUAUCAGAUAAAAGAAUUAAGGUGGAGGAGAAGUUAGCCUUUUUCUUGUACAUGGUGUCUCACAACGCAUCUUAUGAAGAUCUUCAGCUAGAAUUUCAGCAUAGUGGACAAACAUGUUGGCACACUACAUUCAAUUGA
rnacentral:rRNA from 1 species